rnacentral:rRNA from 1 species
ACUCAAAGGAAUAGACGGGGGCUCACACAAGCGGUGGAGCAUGUGGCUUAAUUCGAGGCUACGCGCAAAACCUUAUCCCGGGCUUGACAUGCACGGAUUAGCCGGCGGAAACGUCGGCGACGCCGCAAGGUGGAACGUGCACAGGUGCUGCAUGGCUGUCGUCAGCUCGUGUCGCGAGAUGUUGGGUUCAGUCCCGUAACGAGCGAAACCCCUGUGACUAGUUGCCAGCGGGUCAUGCCGGGCACUCGAGUCAGACCGCCGGCGUCAAGCCGGAGGAAGGCGGGGAUGACGUCAAGUCCUCAUGGCCCUGAUGCCCGGGGCCGCACACGUGCUACAAUGGGCCGGACAAAGCGCCGCAACGCCGCAAGGCCGAGCCAAUCGCAGAAACCGGCCCCCAGUUCGGAUUGCGGGCUGCAACCCGCCCGCAUGAAGCCGGAAUCGCUAGUAAUCGCGGAUCAGCACUGCCGCGGUGAAUGGGUUCCUGAGCCUUGUACACACCGCCCGU